rnacentral:rRNA from 1 species
AGCGAACGCUGGCGGCAGGCCUAACACAUGCAAGUCGAACGGAUCCUUCGGGAUUAGUGGCGGACGGGUGAGUAACACGUGGGAACGUGCCCUUUGGUUCGGAACAACUCAGGGAAACUUGAGCUAAUACCGGAUGUGCCCUUCGGGGGAAAGAUUUAUCGCCAUUGGUGCGGCCCGCGUCUGAUUAGCUAGUUGGUGAGGUAAAGGCUCACCAAGGCGACGAUCAGUAGCUGGUCUGAGAGGAUGAUCAGCCACAUUGGGACUGAGACACGGCCCAAACUCCUACGGGAGGCAGCAGUGGGGGAUCUUGCGCAAUGGGCGAAAGCCUGACGCAGCCAUGCCGCGUGAAUGAUGAAGGUCUUAGGAUUGUAAAAUUCUUUCACCGGGGACGAUAAUGACGGUACCCGGAGAAGAAGCCCCGGCUAACUUCGUGCCAGCCGCCGCAGUAACAC